GCCUGGGUGGUUCAGUUGGUUGAGCAUCUGACUCUUGAUUUCGACUCAGGUCAUGGUCUCAUGGUUCGUGGGUUCGAGCCCCACGUCGGGCU
rnacentral:tRNA from 1 species